UAGGGAAUAUUGCUUAAUGGGCGAAAGCCUGAAGCAGCAACGCCGCGUGUGAGAAGAAGGCCUUCGGGUUGUAAAACACUUUUUGAGGGGAUGAGGAAGGACAGUACCCUCAGAAUAAGCCUCGGCUAACUACGUGCCAGCAGCCGCGGUAAAACGUAGGAGGCGAGCGUUAUCCGGAUUUACUGGGCGUAAAGCGCGUGCAGGCGGCACGGCAAGUUGGAUGUGAAAGCUCCCGGCUUAACUGGGAGAGGUCGUUCAAAACUGCAGGGCUAGAGUGCGGGAGAGGGAGGAGGAAUUCCGAGUGUAGCGGUGAAAUGCGUAGAUAUCAGGAGGAACACCAGUGGCAAAAGCGGCCUCCUGGUCCGCAACUGACGCUCAGACGCGAAAGCUAGGGUAGCAAACGG
rnacentral:rRNA from 1 species